rnacentral:lncRNA from 1 species
AAGCUAAAGAUCAAAGGAUGAUAGUUGAGAGCCUAAUCAGCAUAAUUCCACAACAGAAGGACAGUGUUACAUGCAGCUUCUUGCUGAGGCUUCUUAGGAUGGCAAACAUGUUGAAAGUGGCACCUGCAUUGGUGAAUGAGUUGGAGAAGAGGGUGGGAAUGCAGUUUGAGCAAGCAACACUUGGUGAUCUUUUGAUACCUUGUUAUGAAAAAAGUGAGACUGUGUAUGAUGUGGAUCUUGUUCAGAGGGUGUUGGAGCAUUUUCUUGUUCAGGAGCAGAGUGAGAGUGUUAGUCCAAAUAGGGAAUCAUUUUCGGAGAAGCAGAUGAAUGCAAAGGCAAGAGUUGCAAGGCUUGUUGACAGUUAUCUCACUGAAGUUUCCAGAGACAGGAACCUUUCCCUCACAAAGUUUCAGGUUCUUGCAGAAGCUUUGCCUGACUCAGCUAGGACAUCUGAUGAUGGCCUUUACAGGGCAGUUGAUUCUUAUCUUAAGGUAACUUUUUAUUAAUUCAUUCUUAAACUAGUAUGCAAUGUUCUAAUGAAUUGAAUUUAACAGGCACAUCCGACGCUUAGCGAGCACGAAAGGAAGCGACUGUGCCGAGUAAUGGAUUGCCAGAAACUGUCCAUUGAUGCUUGCAUGCAUGCUGCUCAAAAUGAGAGGCUACCACUAAGAGUAGUAGUCCAAGUUCUGUUCUCUGAGCAAGUCAAGAUAAGCAAUGCACUGGCCAACACUACUUUGAAAGAAGGUGUUGGUGUUGAAUCUCAUCAGUAUCAGCCUCCUGUGCUCACCAACCGGAAAACACUUCUGGAAGGGACGCCGCAAUCCUUCCAAGAAGGGUGGACAGCAGCCAAGAAAGACAUUAACACACUCAAGUUUGAGCUUGAGACUGUCAAGACCAAGUAUUUGGAGCUUCAGAAUGACAUGGAUAAUCUUCAGAAACAAUUUGAUAAGCUCAUGCUCAAGCAGAAGCACACUUCACCAUGNNNNNNNNNNNNNNNNNNNNNNNNNUUGUACAAACGGUAGGAUUCUUCGGAGUCGUUCUUCGACGUACAUUGUGACAGGAAGACAACACCUUAAUACGACUAAUCCGAGAGUUGAUAGUAGGAAACUAGAAAUCGAACUUCUGACCAUCAACUUCACAAGAGAAGAAACCUACGUCGGUGUUAGUACACUUCAGGAGGUGGUGAUGAUGACGAUGAAAGUGGCACCUGCAUUGGUGAAUGAGUUGGAGAAGAGGGUGGGAAUGCAGUUUGAGCAAGCAACACUUGGUGAUCUUUUGAUACCUUGUUAUGAAAAAAGUGAGACUGUGUAUGAUGUGGAUCUUGUUCAGAGGGUGUUGGAGCAUUUUCUUGUUCAGGAGCAGAGUGAGAGUGUUAGUCCAAAUAGGGAAUCAUUUUCGG